GCAUAUCAAUAAGCGGAGGAAAAGAAACCAACAGGGAUUGCCCCAGUAACGGCGAGUGAAGCGGCAACAGCUCAAAUUUGAAAUCUGGCCCUUACGGGUCCGAGUUGUAAUUUGUAGAGGAUGCUUUUGGCAAGGCGCCGCCCGAGUUCCCUGGAACGGGACGCCACAGAGGGUGAGAGCCCCGUCUGGCUGGCCGCCGAGCCUCUGUAAAGCUCCUUCGACGAGUCGAGUAGUUUGGGAAUGCUGCUCAAAAUGGGAGGUAUAUGUCUUCUAAAGCUAAAUAUUGGCCAGAGACCGAUAGCGCACAAGUAGAGUGAUCGAAAGAUGAAAAGCACCUUGAAAAGAGGGUUAAAUAGUACGUGAAAUUGUUGAAAGGGAAGCGCUUGUGACCAGACUUGGGCGCGGCGGAUCAUCCGGGGUUCUCCCCGGUGCACUUCGCCGCGUCCAGGCCAGCAUCAGUUCGUCGCGGGGGAAAAAGGCUUCGGGAACGUGGCUCCCUCGGGAGUGUUAUAGCCCGUUGCGUAAUACCCUGCGGUGGACUGAGGACCGCGCAUCUGCAAGGAUGCUGGCGUAAUGGUCACCAGCGACCCGUCUUGAAACACGGACCAAGGAGUCGUCUUCGUAUGCGAGUGUUCGGGUGUCAAACCCCUACGCGUAAUGAAAGUGAACGCAGGUGAGAGCUUCGGCGCAUCAUCGACCGAUCCUGAUGUUCUCGGAUGGAUUUGAGUAAGAGCAUACGGGGCCGGACCCGAAAGAAGGUGAACUAUGCCUGUAUAGGGUGAAGCCAGAGGAAACUCUGGUGGAGGCUCGCAGCGGUUCUGACGUGCAAAUCGAUCGUCAAAUAUGGGCAUGGGGGCGAAAGACUAAUCGAACCUUCUAGUAGCUGGUUUCCGCGA
rnacentral:rRNA from 1 species